CUGCCAACAAUACAGAUUUCUAUAACUGUAUACAUAGAUUAUUGACAUGUUAAAUAUAAAAAUAGUCCAUGAAAAACCAAUACAUAGUCAAUCUCAAAGAUCAGUUUGAACAUGCAAACCAGAACAUCAAAUACAUGUUAGGAACUUGUAUGGAAACAAAAUUAAAUUUUAAAGUGAUCGGAACGCUUGAACAAUGAAGAAUAGAGCUUUAAGAGGAUCAGAUGUCACCAUAUGAAGUGAGGGAGAGAUGUUUGGUAUUCCAAUAAAAAUGGGUAUUGCCAGCUCAGUUGUUCCACACGAUUUGAUAAAUAAUCUAAGCACCAAAGAUUUGGAAAUAGUGUUAAAUGCUAGAAAUGGAGGCAGGAGUUAUUCAGAAAAAAGAGAAAACAAUGGUCAAGAAAUGUCUCAUAGAAGUUACACAAGAAAACAGUACAGUUGGAUCAAGGAAUGAAUUUAACAAGGAUAUUGCAUUCAAUAAUAAUUGAAAUUGAAACAGCAGACUAAUUAGUCCCUUCUGAUAAGUGUGACAAAAUGCCAAUAACUACCAGAGAAGAUCUUAAAAUUCAAAUAAAGAAAAUGAAAUGCAAC
rnacentral:lncRNA from 1 species